rnacentral:rRNA from 1 species
AGAGUUUGAUCCUGGCUCAGAUUGAACGCUGGCGGCGUGCCUAACACAUGCAAGUCGAGCGGUAACAGGUGUAGCAAUACAUGCUGACGAGCGGCGAACGGGUGAGUAAUGCUUCGGAAUCUACCCAAUGGCGGGGAAUAACUAGCCGAAAGGUUAGCUAAUACCGCAUAAGCCCUACGGGGGAAAGCAGGGGAUCGUAAGACCUUGCGCCGAUGGAUGAGCCGAAGCCGGAUUAGCUAGUUGGUAGGGUAACGGCCUACCAAGGCGACGAUCCGUAGCUGGUCUGAGAGGACGACCAGCCACACUGGGACUGAGACACGGCCCAGACUCCUACGGGAGGCAGCAGUGGGGAAUAUUGGACAAUGGGGGAAACCCUGAUCCAGCGACGCCGCGUGUGUGAAGAAGGCCUGCGGGUUGUAAAGCACUUUUAGUGGGGAUGAAAAGUUCAGGGCUAAUAUCCCUGGAUCUUGACCUAACCCAAAGAAAAAGCACCGGCUAACUCUGUGCCAGCAGCCGCGGUAAUACAGAGGGUGCAAGCGUUAAUCGGAAUUACUGGGCGUAAAGCGUGCGUAGACGGUUAUGUAAGUCAGGUGUGAAAGCCCCGGGCUCAACCUGGGAAUUGCAUUUGAGACUGCAUAGCUAGGGUACGGAAGAGGGAAGCGGAAUUUCAGGUGUAGCGGUGAAAUGCGUAGAUAUCUGAAGGAACACCAGUGGCGAAAGCGGCUUCCUGGUCCAGUACCGACGUUCAGGCACGAAAGCGUGGGGAGCAAACAGGAUUAGAUACCCUGGUAGUCCACGCCAUAAACGAUGAGAACUAGACGUUGAGAGGGUAAGCCUCCCAGUGUCGUAGCUAACGCGCUAAGUUCUCCGCCUGGGGAGUACGGCCGCA